GGCUCAGGACGAACGCUGGCGGGCGUGCUUAACACAUGCAAGUCGAACGGUAAGGCCCCUUCGGGGGUACACGAGUGGCGAACGGGUGAGUAACACGUGGGUAAUCUGCCCUGCACUUCGGGAUAAGCCUGGGAAACUGGGUCUAAUACCGGAUAUGAACUCCUGCCGCAUGGUGGGGGUUGGAAAGUUUUUCGGUGCAGGAUGAGCCCGCGGCCUAUCAGCUUGUUGGUGGGGUAAUGGCCUACCAAGGCGACGACGGGUAGCCGGCCUGAGAGGGUGAUCGGCCACACUGGGACUGAGACACGGCCCAGACUCCUACGGGAGGCAGCAGUGGGGAAUAUUGCACAAUGGGCGAAAGCCUGAUGCAGCGACGCCGCGUGGGGGAUGACGGUCUUCGGAUUGUAAACCCCUUUCAGUAGGGACGAAGCGCAAGUGACGGUACCUGCAGAAGAAGCACCGGCUAACUACGUGCCAGCAGCCGCGGUAAUACGUAGGGUGCGAGCGUUGUCCGGAAUUACUGGGCGUAAAGAGCUCGUAGGCGGUUUGUCACGUCGUCUGUGAAAUCCCUCGGCUUAACCGGGGGCGUGCAGGCGAUACGGGCAGACUUGAGUACUACAGGGGAGACUGGAAUUCCUGGUGUAGCGGUGAAAUGCGCAGAUAUCAGGAGGAACACCGGUGGCGAAGGCGGGUCUCUGGGUAGUAACUGACGCUGAGGAGCGAAAGCAUGGGUAGCGAACAGGAUUAGAUACCCUGGUAGUCCAUGCCGUAAACGGUGGGCGCUAGGUGUGGGGUCCUUCCACGGACUCCGUGCCGUAGCUAACGCAUUAAGCG
rnacentral:rRNA from 1 species